rnacentral:misc_RNA from 1 species
CGCACAUUGCGCCCGCCAGUAUUCUGGCGGGCAUGCCUGUUCGAGCGUCAUUUCAACCCUCAAGCCUAGCUUGGUGUUGGGGAUCGGCACAAGGCGCCCUCGGGUGCCCGCCGUCCCCUAAAUCUAGUGGCGGUCCCGCUGCAGCCACCUCUGCGUAGUAGUUUUCUCCUCGCAAGGGCAGCUCGGUGGCGACCUCGCCGUAAAACCCCCAACUUCUGAAAGUUUGACCUCGAAUCAGGUAGGAAUACCCGCUGAACUUAA